AGGGAUGCGUGCAGAGCGGAUAGGUGGAUAUCUCUUCUCUCCUCUCCUCCGCCAUCAGAUAGAGCCCUGCCCUGCCGACAGGCCAGCUAACCAUCCAGGGAGAGGUUUGCAGUCACCCCUCCGGAGAGGAGCCUGGGUGGCUGUGGUUCGGGGCCCACAACAAGAGAAGCUGCAGCACCGUUCUGUAACAGAGGAAAACAGAAGAUGGC